GUCAUAUGCUUCUUUCAAGGACUAAGCCAUGCAAGUGUGGGAGUACACUGUGCAACAACCUGCCCCCCGAAUACUGUUGGUCUGCGGAUGGCUCAUUAAAUUCAGCAAACAUCUGACCAGCAGUCGUACCUGUAGGUCUGUCAGUACGUCUUCUUCAUGUGCGGGAGCCCGUAGCGCGAGAGGCCUGCAGGGUCCACGUUGUGGAUACCCGGGCUAACUGUCUGGCUAAUACAUGCAAAGUUUAUGGCCCCUUCCCAGGCCUCUCUGGGUCGGGACGGGCGGCGGUUGGUCGGCAAGAAAGACAGGUGCCUCGUGUGUGAGAGCAGCAUGCAUCGGCGAGACAGACCCACUGAGUAUGUGUGCAUGGGAUCCAUCCAUCUUGGGUGCCCAUGCCACCACAUACCCAUUUCAGUUACAGCAGUUGUGCGCGACGCGUGUCACUGCAUGCUGGAUGAAUUUCUGCCCUAUCAGCUUUCGACUGUGGUGUAGUGGACCAUCGUGGCUGUCACGGGUAACGGGGAAUGAGGGUUUGAUUCCGGAGAGGGAGCCCUAGAAACGGCUACCACCGUCAAGGCGGGCAGCAGGCGCGCAAAUUGCCCACUGUUGGCACAGUACCAAACGAGGCAGCGACGAGAAAUGACAACACCGCCAGUCCAACGUGACGGGUGGUGUUUUGUAGUGGAUGCUAUAUGUAAAUGCAGCAGUGAGUUUCAACUGGAGGGCAAGUCUGGUGCCAGCAGCCGCGGUAAUUCCAGCUCCAGUAGCGUAUACUGACGUUGCUGCUGUUAAAAAGCUCGUAGUUGAUUGCAGAGUGGAUGGUGCUGCAGGCAAGGGCACCCGCCUCGGGGUUCAUCCGCGCGCCGGCCCUCGGGCCGUGCAAAGGUGGCUCCGUAAUGUGGUGCUCAUCGUGUGGGGAAUGGUCUAGGCGUGCAAGGUGGUGCACAACUGUGUGGUACCUUGCCGCUUCAGUUCUGGACCCCAUGCUCCCUGCAGUCGUCCCUCCACUCGCCAAACACGGAAUUGGGUUCCUCUGCAGUCGCCCUCCUUAGGUGGUGGCGUGGCUGCGUGCAGCCGCACAGAAUGCGUGCUUGCUGUGAACACUCCCGCCCCCGUGGUUUUGUCCCACGGAGGUGGUGUUUGGGGGAUGUUCGUGGCCGUUAACGUGAACAAAACAGCGUGUUCAAGGYAGGCGACUAGYUGGUCAGUAUGCUGGAGCAUGGCAUAACAAGGAAUCGUCCAGCGGGUGCCCUUCUCAGGGCUCUGCCAAUCUACCUGACACUGUGUGUAUACGUUUUUCCUAGCAGCCCGUCCUGGGCAACACGGGGCCAUCCCAGGGCUUGCAACAGGUGUCUGUCUGUCCACUGAUCUUUGCCGGCCUCGCGGUCGGCAGUCAGCUGCGUCGCUCUCACUCUGUGCAGCUCAUGUGGUUGGCUUUCUGAUCGGAACCGAGGGGACGGUUCAGUGCCGUACGUACUGUACCGCGAGGGGUGAAAUCCUUAGACCGGUGCAUGACGAACCGAGGCGAAGGCGUUCCUGGCAGGGACACGUCUGUCAAUCAAGAACGAGAGUUUGGGGAUCGAAGAUGAUCAGAUACCGCCGUAGUCCAAUGACCGUAAGCUGUGCCAGCUUGGUGUCAGGGGUGUGUUCCCAUCCAUUUUGGUACGUAACCUCUGGCACCGUCCCCCCACAUCGAGAAAUCCAAAAGCGUGUGGGUUCAGGGGGGAGUACGACCGCAAGGCUGAAACUUAAAGGAAUUGACGGAAUGACACCACAAGACGUGGAGUUUGCGGCUUAAUUUGACUCAACACGGGGAACGUUACCGGGUCAGGACACAGCAAGGAUGGACAGAUUGAGGGCUCUUUCUUGAUCCUCUGGAGGGUGGUGCAUGGCCGUUCCUGGUUGGUGGAGUGAUUUGUCUGGUUGAUUCCGAUAACGAGCGAGAUCUCUGCCUUUCAAUAGUGAUGGGUCUCGUUUCUGUAGGAAGGGUGUGAAAGAGGUGGUAACCGUUUGCUUUGGGCUUGCUCAGCGUGGGGGUGCAACUGUAAUUUGCUUAGCCGUUUCCGAGAGUGCUCACAGCUUCUCACAGGGGCCGCGUGCGCUGCCAAGCACACGUACGCCAGAGCCGACAGCAGGUCUGUGAUGCUCCUAAAUGUCCCGGGCCGCACGCGUACUACACUGGUGUGCACAACAAGUCUGUUCGAACCCCUUUGCAUCUUUGCACUGGGUCCUCUCCCGACGGGGACGGGGCAAGCUUGGAAGACCAUGCCGUGAUGGGGAUGGAUGAUUGCAACUAUUUGCCUUGAACGAGGAAUGCCUAGUAUGCGCAGGUCAUCAGCCUGCACAGACUAUGUCCCUGCCAUUUGUACACACCGCCCGUCGUUGCUACCGAUGGUGUGAGGAUAGGGCUAGUCAGUAUUACAGUGUGGCUCACGACCGCCUGACCCGAAUUCAACGGCUGUUGGUACGGAAACCUGCUCCACUCCAGCCCUCAACCACUGUGUACAAACGUCUCUCCCGAUUGAAUAACCGCAACUGCAACCAAGAUCCGUACUGC
rnacentral:rRNA from 1 species